CUGGCCCCUGCAUAAGUUACUGUCCCCCCACAACUCCUACAAGAGAAGCAUGGCUGAGGAAGAACUUCACAAGAGCAAAGCUGUUCAUGUCAUGUGUAAUAGCCAACCUGUUCAGCCUUCCCAUGGUGUUUGAUGGCACUCCUACUGAUCUUACAGCUUUCCAUGGAAGAUGUCUCUACAGACAAGCAACGAUACAAGAGGGGGAGAUUACUAAUUGGCUGCUAUUCAAUAACAGAGAGUAUGAUCAACAGUUAGGCUACUCUGAGUAAAUUUAACAUAAUUGUUUGAAUGUGGUCUCCCAUCUCUUUCAGUCCUCAGCAGUUUAUUCACCAUGCAACUGGAAGCUAAGGAAUAAAUAAAAU